AGGGGAAUAUUGCACAAUGGGGGAAACCCUGAUGCAGCCAUGCCGCGUGUGUGAAGAAGGCCUUCGGGUUGUAAAGCACUUUCAGCGGGGAGGAAGGCGAUAAACUUAAUAAGUUUGUUGAUUGACGUUACCCGCAGAAGAAGCACCGGCUAACUCCGUGCCAGCAGCCGCGG
rnacentral:rRNA from 1 species